GGCGAGAUGGCUAUCCAAGCGAUCCAGAACUCAUAUACCUCACUGAUGGUGCUAGUAAAGGUGUUAUGCAGAUAUUGAAUACUAUUAUCCGCGGUGCAGGGGAUGGGAUUCUGGUCCCGGUUCCACAAUACCCUCUAUACUCGGCCGCAAUUGCACUGUUUGGGGGUUCCCUUGUUCCGUAUUACCUAGAAGAGACUGCAAAUUGGGGUCUAGAUGUUAAUGACCUUCGCCAAUCAGUUGCUCAGGCUCGCUCCAAAGGAAU
rnacentral:misc_RNA from 1 species